UUCCUUCCUUCCUUCCUUCCUUCCUUCCUCCUCCUUCCCUCCCUCCCUCCUUUUCAUCUGUUUAUUUACUGAGUACCAUCUCCACAUGAGACAAUAUGUAAGGCUUUUGAGGAUACAGAGAUGAAUUAUUUCAGCUACUCAUUGAGCGUAUGCUAUGUGCAAACGUACCUAUACAUAGCUUCCAGGUAUAGAAAAACUCAUUAUUCAUAUUGUUCGUCAAAUAUUUGUGGAUGAUUGACAAGUUUUUUGGACUUAUUACUGCUCAUCAAACCCAUUUCCACUUUUACUUGAGCACACAGUUUAAGCUACAUUUUCCAGCCUUCCCUGCAGUGAGGUGUGACCAAGUGACUGAAUUCUAGUUAAAGGAAUGUGAGCAGAAGUGAGGUGGGGUAGUUCCUGGCCUGGCCAUAAACUGUUUCUGUUUUUUCCACAACCUUCCAGCUAGGUUUCAACACCAAGGAUGACCCUGGAAGGUCACUUGUUGAAACUGGCAGAGCCAUCAGGAGCCUGGGUUCUUGAAUGAACCAGUGGAGCAGAGCCCUCCUUCCCUCCCCCAUCCUCUGCUGCCCUGAACCUGCAUUUCGUCAUCAGGCACCAACAGAGCUCUCAUGGGCACCGAGGCCUGCAGCCACCCGGGACAGUUGUCACUGGUCCACAUCAGCUAUGCAGGGCCCAGUGGGGAAGACUGAACUGGUGUGUCUGGAGCCUGGAUCCACCCCCGCCAUCGCCUGCUUGAUGGUCAGUGCACUGAGAAUGGCUCUUUGGUGGCUUCCAGAGCAUAUGAAGUGGAAAGAAGGUUGAAACUAUGCAGCCUGACUCAGUUUCCUGACUUCUAAACUGUCUGCUGGUAUUGCCUGGGCUCUAUGGAAAUACUUCUACUAUUUGAUGUCCAGCUUCAACUGCAGAGCCUGCUGCACCAGCACUGACUCUAAUGUCAAGAUGACCGAUUUCAACUCAAACUCUCCUGGAAAAGAAUGCACUGAUGGAUUGACCUUCACAAUCCAACAUAGUGUGUUGCUGGUAUGUGGGGUUCUCCCCUUGAUCCUCUUAGACUGCUGGGCAGUAAUCCCUUGUAAAUCAACUGCAUAGCCAAUGCAAAGGGAACAGAACUUGGCAAGAUAAUACAGAUCUGGCUGGUACAUUGAGGAUCCUCGAAGGGAUUAAUAUAACUGGUAGAUGCCUUGCAUAACAUUUCAAUAUGGAAAGUACGUGGCAAAGCAAGACUUUUUAAUUCAUUGGUCUCUCUAUUAAUUCAAUUUCAUUUCAAAUGAAUUAAUAGAAUUUGGAAUUUCAAAAUACAGAAUUUCCUUUCAGUAUGGAUUUCUGACGAGAAGUCAUUCUGACUAGUCUUCAUACCAUCCUUAUUUGGGGGCUGCUUUCCCUGUUUCAUCACAAGAGGGCAGUGGUCAGUCUGGGAAGUUAUUUUGUACAUGACCCUGUCCUCUCACCAGGCCUGACAGGGAAGGACCUUCAGAGUCCAUUCCCCAAAGACAGUGACUUAGCCUAAGCCAUUCAUGGUUCAAUCCCUAGGAAUUUGAAGUUGAGACUGAAAAAAGAGAGGUCUGCUCCAGGGAGCAACAUGUCAACUCGGGAUUCAUCCGCAGCCAUGUUUUGUUGUUGUUGUUUUGCUAUGUGGUCAGGAAAACUGGAAUCCACUGAUCCUUGAGAAAGAGAAAAUUGAAACAGACACAAAGAGAGGCAUAAAACCUCCUAGCUCCUGUCUCCAGGUAGUUCCAGAGAAGUAAAUUUAUGCCUACCCUUUAAUUCUAUGAGAUAUUCUAGCAUCAUUGUAAUAAAUAUUCCAUUUUGCUUAAGCUAGUGCCUGUGAGUAUCUGUACUUAGAAACUGAGUCUAAAUAACCACUACAAAAGUAAACUA
ensembl:lincRNA